rnacentral:tRNA from 1 species
UUAAUAAUUUAAAAAAAAAUACUGGUCUUGUAAACCAGAAAUAAGAUCCUCUUUUAAAACUUCA